GUAGGGAAUCUUCGGCAAUGGACGAAAGUCUGACCGAGCAACGCCGCGUGAGUGAUGAAGGUUUUCGGAUCGUAAAGCUCUGUUGUUAGGGAAGAACAAGUACCGUUCGAAUAGGGCGGUACCUUGACGGUACCUAACCAGAAAGCCACGGCUAACUACGUGCCAGCAGCCGCGGUAAUACGUAGGUGGCAAGCGUUGUCCGGAAUUAUUGGGCGUAAAGCGCGCGCAGGCGGUCUCUUAAGUCUGAUGUGAAAGCCCACGGCUCAACCGUGGAGGGUCAUUGGAAACUGGGGGACUUGAGUACAGAAGAGGAGAGUGGAAUUCCACGUGUAGCGGUGAAAUGCGUAGAUAUGUGGAGGAACACCAGUGGCGAAGGCGGCUCUCUGGUCUGUAACUGACGCUGAGGCGCGAAAGCGUGGGGAGCAAACAGGAUUAGAUACCCGAGUAGUCC
rnacentral:rRNA from 1 species